UGUAGGACCACGAUGUCGCAAGAAAUUUAGUGAGAAGAAUUCUUUGGAAAAUGAAACCAUAGACGGUGAUAGUCCGGUAUUCGAAGCUAAAUGAAGCGUAGUGGUAUCCUGAGUAGCGCGGGACACGAGGAAUCUUGCGUGAAUCUGCCGGGACCAUCCGGUAAGGCUAAAUACUCCCGAGAGACCGAUAGCGAACCAGUACUGUGAAGGAAAGGUGAAAAGCACUUCGAAUAGAAGAGUGAAAUAGUCCCUGAAACCGUGCGCCUACAAGCGGUCGGAGCUGCUUCAGCAGUGACGGCGUGCCUUUUGCAUAAUGAACCUACGAGUUACUUUUUCCGGCAAGGUUAAGGAUCUUGAGAUCCGCAGCCGAAGCGAAAGCGAGUCUUAACAGGGCGAUUAGUCGGAAGGAGUAGACGCGAAACCAAGUGAUCUACCCUUGGUCAGGUUGAAGGUUAGGUAACACUAACUGGAGGACCGAACCGAUAAGCGUUGAAAAGCUUCCGGAUGAACUGAGGGUGGGGGUGAAAGGCUAAUCAAACUUGGAGAUAGCUCGUACUCCCCGAAAUGCAUUUAGGUGCAGCCUUGGGAAUUACUACUGUGAGGUAGAGCGACUGAUAAGAUGCGAGGGCUUCACCGCCUAUCAAGUCUUGAUAAACUCCGAAUGCGCAGUAGUUCGAUCCCAGGAGUGAGGGCAUGGGUGCUAAGGUCCAUGUCCUAAAGGAGAAGAAUCCGGACCAUCAGCUAAGGUCCCGAAAUAAUUGCUAAGUUGAACUAACGAAGUCAGAUUGCUAAGACAGCUAGGAUGUUGGCUUGGAAGCAGCCAUUCAUUUAAAGAGUGCGUAACAGCUCACUAGUCGAGGAGUUUGGCGUGGAUAAUAAUCGGGCAUUAAGCAAUUUACCGAAGCUAUGGGAUCCGUAAGGAUCGGUAGGGGAGCAUUCCACUCUGCGUCGAAGGUGAAGCGUGAGCUUUGCUGGAGCGUGUGGAAAAGCAAAUGUAGGUAUAAGUAACGAUAAAGGGGGUGAGAAACCCCCUCGCCGAAAGACUAAGGUUUCCUGAUCAACGCUAAUCGGAUCAGGGUUAGUCGGGUCCUAAGGCUCAGCCGAACGGUGAGGCCGAUGGCAGAACAGGUUAAUAUUCCUGUACUACCUUAAGGAGUGACGUGGAGACGGAGGAGUGACAGCGCCGCGGACUGACGGAAUAGUCCGUUGAAGGGUGUAGAUGUUGAUUAUCCCAGGCAAAUCCGGGAUAAGAGUCGAACCUGAUAGUAUACCAAAUUCUUCGGAAUAAGGUAAUAGUGCGUGUAAGCAUACUCCCAAGAAAAUCCGCUAAACUUAAUCUUUAAGGUACCCGUACCGCAAACGGACACACGUAGUCGGGUUGAAUAUACUAAGGCGCUUGAGUGAUUCACGGUUAAGGAACUAGGCAAAUUGACCCUGUAACUUCGGGAUAAAGGGUCCCAACGAGAGUUGGGCGCAGAGAAUAGGUCCAGGCAACUGUUUAACAAAAACACAGGGCUGUGCCAAAUUGAAAGAUUACGUAUACAGCCUGACACCUGCCCGGUGCUGGAAGGUUAAGAGGAGAUGUCAUCGCAAGAGAAGCAUUGAAUUGAAGCCCCAGUAAACGGCGGCCGUAACUAUAACGGUCCUAAGGUAGCGAAAUUCCUUGUCGGGUAAGUUCCGACCUGCACGAAUGGUGUAAUGAUCUGGACACUGUCUCAACCGUGAGCUCAGUGAAAUUGUAGUAUCGGUGAAGAUGCCGAUUACCCGCGAUGGGACGAAAAGACCCCGUGAACCUUUACUAUAGCUUAACAUUGAAUUUGGGUAAUUGAUGUGUAGGAUAGGCCGGAGACUUUGAAGCAGGUACGCCAGUAUUUGUGGAGUCGCUGUUGAAAUACGGCCCUUUGAUUAUUUGAGUUCUAACUCGUUGUUACGAGGACACUGUUUGGUGGGUAGUUUGACUGGGGUGGUCGCCUCCAAAAGUGUAACGGAGGCUUCUAAAGGUGCCCUCAGGACGAUUGGUAACCGUCCGUAGAGUGUAAUGGCAUAAGGGCGCUUGACUGGGAGACAGACAAGUCGAUCAGGUAGGAAACUAGAGCAUAGUGAUCCGGUGUUUCCGUAUGGAAGGGACAUCGCUCAAAGGAUAAAAGGUACUCCGGGGAUAACAGGCUGAUCCCUCCCAAGAGCUCAUAUCGACGGAGGGGUUUGGCACCUCGAUGUCGGCUCGUCACAUCCUGGGGCUGGAGAAGGUCCCAAGGG
rnacentral:rRNA from 1 species